UCUUGACCUCGGAUCAGGUAGGGAUACCCGCUGAACUUU
rnacentral:rRNA from 1 species